rnacentral:rRNA from 1 species
GACCUACACUCUCUCCUUUUCUACUACUACUGCUGCUCUGCUGCUACCCCUCUCAUUUGGUAUUACGAUUUUUGGGGCUUUGACUAAAAGUCUUGAGCUAAAAAGCUUCAUUUUUUUAGAGCUCCUUCCUCCUCCCCCCGAAAUUAAAUCCGGGGCCGAGGGAUUCGCAAUUCGGGGGAGCUCGUGGCCUCCAAUCCGCCCCGAUUCCUGCGCCUGCUCCAGCCGAUCCGCAUGGAUCAAUGGAGUUCUCAUAGCUCUCAAGGUUAAGAUCAACAGUACUGUGCAGUGAACUCUUGUUCAUUUCUUUGGUCCUGGGCUUCUUCAUUCUUGCUCAAGUCCAGCUGUCUGUUGAUCUAAUUCCAAGGUGGAGAUGAGUGUGGAGUACAAUAUGGAUGAAGCUUUGAAAGCACGAAAUACUGCAGAGAGCAAGUUUCAUGCGCGCGACCUCAGGGGCGCACGCAAGUACGCGGUCAAGGCCCAGAAUCUCUGCCCAUCACUUGAGGGCAUAUCCCAGAUGGCGUCGACUCUUGAAGUUCAUCUUGCAGCGGAGUCCAAGAUUGAUGGAGAGAGUGACUGGUACCGGAUCUUGUCCCUGCCCGCCUUUGCAGAUGAAGAGGAUGUGAAGAAGCAGUACAGGAAGCUAGCUCUCCAGCUGCACCCUGAUAAGAACAAGUCAGUCGGUGCUGAGGAGGCCUUUAAACUGAUCUCUGAGGCUUGGAGUGUGUUGUCUGAUACUAGUCGGAAGACAAUUUAUGAUCAGAAGAGGUCAGAUCAUUCUGUUGUCAACGUAACCAAUGGCAUGUAUACGUAUGACAAGAAGGCGACCAAGAGAGCUCGAAAGAAUGCUGCUGCUGCCGCCGCCGCUGCGGCUGCUGCGGCGGCUGCUGCUGAGGCUACUGCUCGUCCUGCUGGUGUUGAUACUUUCUGGACAUCUUGCAAUCGCUGCCGUAUGCAGUAUGAGUACUUAAGAAUGUAUCUUAAUCAUAACCUUCUGUGCCCAAACUGCCAUCAUGCGUUCAUGGCGGUAGAGACUGGAUUUCCUUGCAACGGAAGCAGUUCAUCUUUCUCCUGGUCAACCAAGCAGCAGCCACAGAACCACAGUUCCACCAAACAUUCAUAUGGCUCAACAAGCAGGACUUCUAGCAUUCCGGGGACAGGGCAUGUGGGGUAUCAGCAAGAUAGUACUUACGAUUCCUACAACAGUCAAAGCUUUCAGUGGAAUCAGUACUCCAAGACAGCGCCUGCAGCUGACACAAAUGCGUACAGUACCCAGGCUUCCGAGAAACCUAGAAGAAAUGAAGAGAGCUACAGCUACAACUACCCUGAAAGUGGAAACACAUGUGACCCUGAGAGAACUACUUCAAGGCGUGGCCGGUUUGCAAAGCGGAGAAGGCAUAGUAAUGAUUAUACUACUGUGGAUUAUGCUGGAGAUAACAAAGAAACAGUGGUUGUAAGCACAGAGACAAAUGCUUUCACUGAUGUGGGGCGGGUUAAUGGCACUUCAGUGGAAAAGAUGAGAUCUGCAGUGAGUGUAAGGAGAGCUAAUGUUUUGAGAGAGAUCUCCCAGAUUGAUACACGGGGUCUACUUGUUGAGAAAGCCAAAGAAGCCGUCCGGGGAAAAUUGCAAGAGCUGAGCAUGGCAGCAUGUUCACGGUUUGCAGAGAAAAGGAAGUCAGAAGGAAAGGUAUAUCCUAGUGACAACAACAUAAAGGCAAAUGGGGUCCUCUCUGGCAAGCCUGGCAAAGGACUCAAGCUAUGCAGUUCAAUAAGUGUCGACACCCACAUACCUGCAACUGCAACUGAUGAAAAGAAUCCAGAACAGAAGCGUGUGCCUGUUUCGAUUGAUGUCCCAGAUCCUGACUUCCAUGAUUUUGAUAAGGAUCGCACAGAGAGAGCUUUUUAUAGUGACCAAGUAUGGGCUACAUAUGACAGUGAGGAUGGAAUGCCUCGUCUAUAUGCAAUGGUGCAGAAAGUUCUUUCAAUGAGACCUUUCAGAAUCCGCAUGAGUUUCCUCAAUUCCAAAUCCAAUAUUGAACUGUCGCCAAUAAACUGGGUUGCCUCUGGUUUCCAGAAAACAUGUGGCGAUUUUAGGGUUGGAAGGUACCAGAUUACGGAAACAGUCAACAUAUUUUCGCACAAAGUCAGCUGGACUAAAGGCCCCCGUGGGAUUAUCAGAAUUAUUCCUCAGAAAGGUGAUACAUGGGCUUUGUACCGAGACUGGUCUCCUGAUUGGAACGAGCUUACACCUGAUGAUGUGAUAUAUAAAUACGAGAUUGUUGAAGUUAUUGAUGAUUUCACUGAGGAGCAAGGGCUGACCGUCAUUCCAUUGUUGAAGGUUGCUGGCUUCAAAGCUGUGUUCCAUAGGCACAUGGACCCCAAGGAGGUGAGGAGGAUACCAAAGGGUGAGCUGUUUCGAUUCUCGCAUCAGGUUCCUUCUCGACUGCUGACUGGUGAAGAAGGCAACAAUGCCCCGGAAGGUUGUCAUGAGCUCGAUCCUGCUGCAACCCCAGUGGACCUUCUUAAGGUUAUUACAGAGGUGAAUGAAGACGUGGCGGCGCAGACUGCUGAAUAGAAGAGGGCAACAACUCUGAACACUGAAGAUAGCUUGGGUGUCUGAAGUGUGAAAUGUACUACACAGAUGACAACAAGUCAACAUUUGUUGGUGUCUUAGUUCUAUUAUGCCAUCUUAUUUUUGGCUGAUGACUUGGAACAAUACUGCCAGGGCAAGCAGCUUAUGUCGUGGACUUCUGACUGUUAAUUCUUAGGCAUUUCUAACACUCGGAGUUUAUCGCGCCAUGGAUAUCAUCUUCUAGAGUAAAAGAAGCAUUGGGAGGCGAUUGAUGCGGCGACUAGUCAAAGGAAAGCUAUGGAGCCUCAUGGCUUGCUGACGGCGUUACUCUGUUCAGGUAUGGUGUUGAGCAUAGGAGCCAUCAAGUUCGAGGGGGGAGACGCCACUGGACUUCCCCAUGUACCCGGAAAUUAUUAAUGUACCAAAUUUACCUAAGAUGUUGUAUUUCCUUUAAUCUAUAGCGAUGCGUCCUUAUAUAAUGUUGAACUCGAUGAUUUCAAAAUUCUGAUUUGAACUCGGUGAACUGGUUCGGCAAUUUAAUAUUAUAUUUAGUGGAAGC